rnacentral:rRNA from 1 species
UACGUAGGGCGCAAGCGUUAUCCGGAAUUAUUGGGCGUAAAGAGCUCGUAGGCGGUUUGUCGCGUCGAAUGUGAAAACCCGGGGCUCAACCCCGGGCCUGCAUUCGAUACGGGCAGACUAGAGUUCGGUAGGGGAGACUGGAAUUCCUGGUGUAGCGGUGAAAUGCGCAGAUAUCAGGAGGAACACCGGUGGCGAAGGCGGGUCUCUGGGCCGAUACUGACGCUGAGGAGCGAAAGCGUGGGGAGCGAACAGG